CAAUUUCUGCCUUCCAAAUUAAAGUCUUCAGCAUUAUACUGAACAACUAAUUCUAGAUUUAGGCAACAGAAGUCCAAGGUUUUAGUCUCUCUGACCUUUGCUUUUGGUAAGACAGGAUGUCACCCUUAAAAUAUCAGUUCUGGCUUGGAGGAAUUAUUACUAGUGAUUUUCUUUUUUUUUAAGUGUGAGGUUUAUGGGAGGGGGGUCUUUGUUUGUUUGUUAGUUAAUUGGUUUGUCUGUUUUUUAAAUAGCAGCAUUGCUUGGACAAGAACUUUAAACAAGCAUAUGCAAAGCAUCAUGCCAGUAGACAUACCGUUCACAAGAUUCUUCAGCAAAUUUUCCUUGGGAUAACAGCAAUAAUCGUGACCUACAGAAAUGCCAGGAGAGGUCAGUAAUGUAAACUGAUCAACUGCUGAGAAACAUGAUGUGGACGUGAAGGCUUUCAUCAAGCUCAUCAGUUCAGAAUGGCCUCAGAUACUUCCCUCCCUGCCAAUACAGCAGCAUCCUGGAAAAGGACCAAGUUUUUUCAAAAGGACAAAUGAUCAACAUUCCAGAUGCUGCUGCUGCAAACACCUUCCUGGCUUGUGAUCUGACAAAUAAUCUUUCAAAAUCUGUGAUUUUUGCACAUCUUUUUCUCCAAGGAGAUGGCAUAAAGGGUGUUCAGGACACUAUACCACGCAAUGAAGCGCUAAGAUACUUUGUGACAGUAUCUUGCCAAGAUACUUGGAAUAAA